rnacentral:tRNA from 1 species
CGGGGUGUGGCGCAGCCCGGUAGCGCACCUGCUUUGGGAGCAGGGGGUCGUGGGUUCAAAUCCCUCCGCCCCGACCA